AUUGAACGCUGGCGGAAUGCUUUACACAUGCAAGUCGAGCGGCAGCGCGGGGGCAACCCUGGCGGCGAGCGGCGAACGGGUGAGUAACACAUCGGAACGUACCCAGUGGUGGGGGGAUAGCCCGGCGAAAGCCGGAUUAAUACCGCAUACGACCUGAGGGGGAAAGUGGGGGACCGCAAGGCCUCACGCCGCUGGAGCGGCCGAUGUUCGAUUAGCUAGUUGGUGGGGUAAAGGCCUACCAAGGCGACGAUCGAUAGCUGGUCUGAGAGGACGACCAGCCACACUGGAACUGAGACACGGUCCAGACUCCUACGGGAGGCAGCAGUGGGGAAUUUGGACAAUGGGGGCAACCCUGAUCCAGCCAUUCCGCGUGAGUGAAGAAGGCCUCGGGUUGGUUAAAGGACUCUUUCGGUCAGGAACGAAACGGUAGGGGGCGUAAGU
rnacentral:rRNA from 1 species